GACGUAGGGCGCGAGCGUUGUCCGGAUUUAUUGGGCGUAAAGAGCUCGUAGGCGGCUUGUUGCGUCGACUGUGAAAACCCGCGGCUUAACUGCGGGCUUGCAGUUGAUACGGGCAGGCUAGAGUUCGGUAGGGGAGAGUGGAAUUCCUGGUGUAGCGGUGAAAUGCGCAGAUAUCAGGAGGAACACCGGUGGCGAAGGCGGGUCUCUGGGCCGAUACUGACGCUGAGGAGCGAAAGCGUGGGGAGCAAACAGG
rnacentral:rRNA from 1 species